CCGAGCAUCUUUUGAACCAGAGCGACGAGGCGUGCGGGCAGCAGCAGCAGGCACCUGGGCCCCAGCCGUGCCGCCUCGUUACGAUGACCAGCGUGGUUAAGACAGUGUACAUCCUGCAGCCCUCCUGUGUGCUGAGCAGCGGCCUGCCUGCAGAUGCACAAACUCGAGCCACUUUUAAGAGCCAGUUACCUGUUAAGUCCAAAGAAGUUGAUGUUUCCAGACCUCAUUCAGGACCUUCAGAGAAUGAUGUUACAAAAAUCAUCAAACCGAGAUGAGAGAAUGGGCAAGUUGAAGGCUACAGACACCUCCAGAAGGAACCUCAGAAAGAGCUACAAACCAUUAAGUAAACAGAAAUCGGAAGAAGAGCUCAAGGAUAAGAACCAGCUCUUAGAGGCUGUCAACAAGCAGUUGCAUCAGAAAUUGAUUGAAACUCAGGGAGAGCUGAAGGACCUGACUCAAAAAGUAGAGCUGCUGGAGAAGUUUCAGGACAACUGUUUGGCAAUUUUAGAAAGCAAAGGCCUCAACCCAGGCAGUGAGACCCUGGCGUCACAGCAGGACUCCACCGCAGAUCACAUGGACUCCAUGCUGCUGUUACAAACUUUGCAAGAUGAACUGAAGCUUUUUAACGAAACAGCCAAAAAGCAGAUGGAAGAGUUACAGGCCUUAAAGGUAAAGUUGAAGAUGAAAGAAGAAGAGAGAGCCCAGUUCCUUGAACAACAGACCUUAUGUAGCAGUCAAGUAAAUGAUUUCACAGCAGCCCUUGAGGAAAUGGAACAGCUAUUAGAAAUAUGAUAAAAAGCAGGUGGCCACAUGGCUCUCUCUUGGGGAUAGACUCUCAGAGGAAGCUACUUAGGACAUCUGCUUCUUGGCCAUGAUCUUCUAGGACUCACCAUCCCCAGAAUGAAAAGAGUUUUUGCAGUAGGAUUAAAGACAAUCGAUGUUGGAAUGGCAAUUCCUCCCUUAAGCAAGCAUUCGUUCCCAGCCUUCAGACUGUCCAGCUCUCCUGAACCUCACAGUUCAUAAUUAGGGCCUACAGGAGAGGGGGCCUGAAAGCUUGGAUCAGCCUCCUAGGAUCAAAAA